CAUACAACCUGUACCUUUAAGCUUUGUGCUCUUUAUCACGUAGAAGUUAUAAUAAAUCUAUAUAUAAUUAAAUCUGUACAGGUUUUCUCUAAAGUGCUGCACUAAUUCUCAUUUUUUAGAUAUUCCUGCAUUUUGCUUAAAAAACAGCUGAAAACUACCACAAGAUCAGUUAUAUAAGUGCUUUAUAAUAGUUGUUACUCACUGCCACAUAUUAAGCACUUUACAACUAACAAAAUCUAGCUUUUGUAAAUCCCUGGAAACUAACACUGCAAUAAAACUUGAUAAAACUCCUUGAAUCAAAUGAAAUCCUCCGCAUAAAUAAAAGGAAAGAAAGUGUAGUUUAAUAUUAAUAUUCUUUCUUUGUUGUUGUACCAUGAGCUCUAAAAGCUAAAGAAAUCUCUCUCUCCUUUGUCUCCCUGUCUUGUCUCUCAGCACCCCCUCCCUCCUCCCUCUCUCAUUUCUCGGGUCUCUUCUUUCUUCUCUAUCUUUGGCCUCUUGUUCUCGUCUCUCUCUUCCUCUUCUUUCCUUUUUUUCAUCAUCUCUCUCCAUCUCCUCCCUUUCUACUGCUUCCAUUUCUCUUUCUGCAUUCCUCCAUCUGGUGCAUCAGCUCCUAAAUUUCCUUCCUCUUCCUCUUCCUCUCUACUCUACUCUCUACUAGGUUGGGUGGUGUUAUGGAGGGUCAGAAUGCGCAGAAAUCAAGAAGAAAAAUAAUUCAGUAAGACCUUUAGGCUACUUGAAGUGUUAGUAUGUGCUACAUUCAUUGUCAACAGCACCUUUAUAAAAUGACUCAAAACCUUUGAUGGCAGCAUAACACUUUCUAGUGAACAGGGCUACAUUAGCCUCUCUCCACUUGAUUAGGAGCUGAGUGUGUUCAUAAUUGCCAGUAAACAUUCCAUCAUGAAUAUAAUUUUAGAAUGAUAUUAAUGCUACAUUGACAAACUGAGGCAUACUUAUUAACAGUAGCUUGCUAUGUAGCCAACAAAAUAUUUACUAACUUAAAU
rnacentral:lncRNA from 1 species